UGUCCAGGGGCGGGAAUCGAACCCACGACCUUCCGCUUACCGGGCAGAUGCCAUGUCCUAUUAAGGAUAAUAUAAAC